CAGGACGAACGCUGGCGGCGUGCCUAAUACAUGCAAGUCGAACGGCUUUUCUAUGGAAGCUUGCUUCCACUGAGAAGAUAGUGGCGAACGGGUGAGUAACACGUGGGUAACCUGCCCAUAAGAGGGGGAUAACAUCCGGAAACGGGUGCUAAUACCGCAUAGUUUUCUUGAUCGCAUGAUCGGGAAAGGAAAGACGGCCUUUGUGCUGUCGCUUAUGGAUGGACCCGCGGCGUAUUAGUUAGUUGGUGAGGUAACGGCUCACCAAGACGAUGAUACGUAGCCGACCUGAGAGGGUGAUCGGCCACAUUGGGACUGAGACACGGCCCAAACUCCUACGGGAGGCAGCAGUAGGGAAUCUUCCGCAAUGGACGAAAGUCUGACGGAGCAACGCCGCGUGAGUGAAGAAAGGUUUUCGGAUCGUAAAACUCUGUUGUCAGAGAAGAACAAGUUGGAGAGUAACUGCUCCAGCCUUGACGGUAUCUGACCAGAAAGCCACGGCUAACUACGUGCCAGCCGCGGC
rnacentral:rRNA from 1 species